rnacentral:rRNA from 1 species
AUUGAACGCUGGCGGCAGGCCUAACACAUGCAAGUCGAGCGGAUGAAGGGAGCUUGCUCCUGGAUUCAGCGGCGGACGGGUGAGUAAUGCCUAGGAAUCUGCCUGGUCGUGGGGGAUAACGUCCGGAAACGGGCGCUAAUACCGCAUACGUCCUGAGGGAGAAAGGGGGGGAUCUUCGGACCUCACGCGAUCAGAUGAGCCUAGGUCGGAUUAGCUAGUUGGUGGGGUAAAGGCCUACCAAGGCGACGAUCCGUAACUGGUCUGAGAGGAUGAUCAGUCACACUGGAACUGAGACACGGUCCAGACUCCUACGGGAGGCAGCAGUGGGGAAUCUUGGACAAUGGGCGAAAGCCUGAUCCAGCCACGCCGCGUGUGUGAAGAAGGUCUUCGGAUUGUAAAGCACUUUAAGUUGGGAGGAAGGGCAGUGAGUUAAUAUCUUGCUGUUUUGACGUUACCAAAAGAAUAGGCACCGGCUAACUUCGUG